GACAGAGGGUGCAAACGUUGUUCGGAAUUACUGGGCGUAAAGCGCGUGUAGGCUGCUCGGAAAGUCGGAUGUGAAAGCCCUGGGCUCAACCUAGGAAGUGCAUUCGAAACUUCCAAGCUGGAGUGCUGGAGAGGAAGGCGGAAUUCUCGGUGUAGAGGUGAAAUUCGUAGAUAUCGAGAGGAACACCGGUGGCGAAGGCGGCCUUCUGGACAGUAACUGACGCUGGAGACGCGAAAGCGUGGGGAGCAAACAGG
rnacentral:rRNA from 1 species